CAGUAGCCGCGGUAAUACGAAGGGUGCAAGCGUUAAUCGGAAUUACUGGGCGUAAAGCGUGCGUAGGCGGUUUGUUAAGUCUGUUGUGAAAUCCCCGGGCUCAACCUGGGAAUGGCAAUGGAUACUGGCAAGCUAGAGUGUGUCAGAGGAUGGUGGAAUUCCCGGUGUAGCGGUGAAAUGCGUAGGGAUCGGGGGGAACAUCAGUGGCGAAGGCGGCCAUCUGGGACAACACUGACGCUGAGGCACGAAAGCGUGGGGAGCAAACAGGAUUAGAUACCCGAGUAGUCCCUGUCUCUUAUAC
rnacentral:rRNA from 1 species